CCUACGGGAGGCAGCAGUGAGGAAUAUUGGUCAAUGGGCUUACGCCUGAACCAGCAAAGUCGCGUGAGGGAAGACUGCCCUAUGGGUUGUAAACCUCUUUUGUCAGGGAGCAACGCCGGCUACGUGUAGCCGGACUGAGAGUACCUGAAGAAAAAGCAUCGGCUAACUCCGUGCCAGCAGCCGCGGUAAUACGGAGGAUGCGAGCGUUAUCCGGAUUUAUUGGGUUUUAAGGGUGCGUAGGCGGAAUGCCAAGUCAGCGGUAAAAUCGCGGGGCUCAACCUCGCUCCGCCGUUGAAACUGGCGUUCUUGAGUGGGCGAGAAGUAUGCGGAAUGCGUGGUGUAGCGGUGAAAUGCAUAGAUAUCACGCAGAACUCCGAUUGCGAAGGCAGCAUACCGGCGCCCAACUGACGCUGAAGCACGAAAGCGUGGGUAGCGAACAGGAUUAGAUACCCCUGUAGUC
rnacentral:rRNA from 1 species